CGUGUCCUACGGGGCGCAGCAGUGGGGAAUAUUGCACAAUGGGGGAAACCCUGAUGCAGCGACGCCGCGUGAGUGAAGAAGUAUUUCGGUAUGUAAAGCUCUAUCAGCAGGAACGAGACAAGACGGUACCUGACUAAGAAGCCCCGGCUAACUACGUGCCAGCAGCCGCGGUAAUACGGAGGAUGCGAGCGUUAUCCGGAUUUAUUGGGUUUAAAGGGUGCGUAGGCGGAUUUUUAAGUCAGCGGUAAAAUGUCCGGGCUCAACCCGGGCCGGCCGUUGAAACUGGGGAUCUUGAGUGGGCGAGA
rnacentral:rRNA from 1 species